rnacentral:rRNA from 1 species
GACGAGCAUCACAAACGUUAUUCGGAAUUACUGGGCUUAAAGGGUGCGUAGGCGGUGCAGCAAGUCGGGAGUGAAAUCCCACAGCUCAACUGUGGAAUUGCUUUCGAUACUGCUGUGCUUGAGUGAGAUAGAGGUAAGCGGAACUUAGGGUGGAGCGGUGAAAUGCGUUGAUAUCCUAAGGAACACCGGUGGCGAAGGCGGCUUACUGGGUCUCUACUGACGCUGAUGCACGAAAGCCAGGGUAGCGAACGGG